CGGGGUGUAGCGCAGCCAGGUUAGCGCGCGUGCUUUGGGAGCACGAGGCCGCCGGUUCGAAUCCGGCCACCCCGA
rnacentral:tRNA from 1 species